UACGAAGGGUGCAAGCGUUAAUCGGAAUUACUGGGCGUAAAGCGCGCGUAGGUGGUUCAGUAAGUUGGAAGUGAAAUCCCCGGGCUCAACCUGGGAACUGCUUUCAAAACUGCUGAGCUAGAGUACGGUAGAGGGUGGUGGAAUUUCCUGUGUAGCGGUGAAAUGCGUAGAUAUAGGAAGGAACACCAGUGGCGUAGGCGACCACCUGGACUGAUACUGACACUGAGGUGCGAAAGCGUGGGGAGCAAACAGG
rnacentral:rRNA from 1 species